rnacentral:rRNA from 1 species
AUUGAACGCUGGCGGCAUGCCUUACACAUGCAAGUCGAACGGUAGCGGGCCUUCGGGUGCCGACGAGUGGCGAACGGGUGAGUAAUGUAUCGGAACGUACCUUUCAGUGGGGGAUAACGUAGCGAAAGUUACGCUAAUACCGCAUAUUCUGUGAGUAGGAAAGCAGGGGAUCGCAAGACCUUGCGCUGAUGGAGCGGCCGAUAUCAGAUUAGCUAGUUGGUGAGGUAAAGGCUCACCAAGGAGUCGAUCUGUAGCGGGUCUGAGAGGAUGAUCCGCCACACUGGAACUGAGACACGGUCCAGACUCCUACGGGAGGCAGCAGUGGGGAAUUUUGGACAAUGGGGGCAACCCUGAUCCAGCCAUGCCGCGUGAGUGAAGAAGGCCUUCGGGUUGUAAAGCUCUUUCGGCCGGGAAGAAAUCGUAUCAGCUAAUACCUGGUGCGGAUGACGGUACCGGCAUAAGAAGCACCGGCUAACUACGUGCCAGCCGCCGCCGUAAAAC